AUGGGGCGUUUUUGGACACGUGGUGGCUCGGUAGUGUAUCGGUGUUUCUCACGCAUUUAUUUCUUUUAAAAAAUUCUUACGCUCACGCGCAUGACGUUUGUUACGGUGAAGUUCUGUUUUCUCUAAUUGGGCUUCGCUUAUCUUUUUUAAAAAUUGAGUCCGCUUCUUAUUUGAAGCCCAUAUGUAUUAGGUUAUUCUUCCUUCUUUUUCUUGUAGCUGAUUCUUUGCCGACGAAACCAAGCCCCAACUAAAGACGACGCCCUUUGAGUCCGUAACGUUUCGCAAAUUCUUUAAUCCGUCAUUUAAUUUGGGUUAUCCCUUCAUUAGUCCACAACUCCCACAUUAAAAUUUCGAUCUAUCUCUUCGUUUCUACUGUAACCCCCUGAAUCUAUGUGUUGGUUAUACUGAUUCUACACCACUAUCAUUCUAUAUAUAUAGACCCACAGUGAGUUUCCUCCACAUAUAUUUCCGUCAAGCUCCCCGGGAAGACAAUUAUGCUGAUUCCAUCUGGUCACACUUUCAUCGAAACGGUUCGGUGUUUCUCCAGCAUCACUCGAAAGUCCGUCGAGCUCCUCUUAGUCGGCGACCACGGAGACUCAUGAUCACAGAUGAACAAAUCGCUCAGAAACAUCGUAACCUCAAUUUCAUAUGUUUUAGAGAUGUGAAUAUGAUUUAAAAUCGGAAAUAGGAGACAACAAACCCGGAGAAAGACGCUCUGCUUCACAAUCUAGUGAUAGAUUGAUUUCGACUAAUCUCAACGCAUGUUCUUUCUUAUAAUUGGGAUCAUAUGUUUAACAAGCUUUAGUCUUGGUUUGUGUUUUUUGUUUUCACAAGGUAUGGUGAUUGACCGAUUCUGGACAACCGCAACAGGUAAAGCCCAAUAUAAAAUCUGGCUCUUUUGGUCGAUCUUCCACAUAUCAGCAUUUCACUGCGUCUGAACCUAUUGCUUUUUUUUUUCAAAGCUCAAUGGAGAUGAUGAGUUGAUGUCGUAUCGUGUUCUACCAAGUGUUGGUCUGAAUUACUUAAAAAAAUUAAUUAUAUGCAUAAGCACAGUGGACAAAGUUAGCUCAUCUAAUAUAGUACCUUUUACUCACUUUAAUCUUCUUCUUUUCUUUGUCUUGGUUUUUGGUUAUUCUUCCGUGCAUUGGAUGGAGUGGCUCAUUUAUUUGAAGCUUCAGUCUGAAGGUAUGUCUGCCUUAGAUUACGUAUGAUAGUUAUUGGCUUAUAGAGCUCCUUGAUUUAAAAUCUGUAGCAAGUUAAUAUGGAAUUUUAUUUGGCACCAUCUUCAUUUAUCCCAAUUAGUCCAUGAAAUCUAAAAUUGCUUAUAUGUACCAUCAAAUUUCUAUAGAAUAUUUGGCUGAGAUAGUGUUUGUAAAAUGUAUGUUUGUACAAGGUUCACGAUGGACAAAUUAUGAAUCUCAUGAACCGUUAUAUUUUUUUGACUUUUACUUUGAUGAAAUUUUGAGUAUCUAAAUUUCAAUGCAAUUACCACGAUUAUAAGCAGGUCUUCAGCUACCAUGUUUAAGAUGGCUAAUCUGGUAGGAUUAGAUUAGAAGAGACGGGGAAAAGAUAUAGAUUGGCAUCCACACAACAGUGAACUUUUUUCUCUGUGUAUGCCUCAAUUAGGAAAGAACAUCGGCGUAAAAGACAGCAUCACCGAAUAAACCAACCGGUGGGAGUUGACCCACCUAACCAACAAGAACAAGUCAUUACUCAAAAUUGCAUUCAAAGUAAUAUAAGAAUAUUCACAACCUCUGUUGGUAACAUAAUGUCACGCAGCAUCGCUAUGACUGUAUUUUUUUUCUUUUCUUUACGACUGCAUCACAAUACUCUCAUAUAUGUUUACGCAUCUGCUACUAUAUUUCUUA